GCGAGGGUUGGAGUUUGCGCUUGCGCAAAAAUGUCGGGAAAGCGGGAGAAGAGGGGUUAAGAGGCGGUAUUGACAGCUGUGGAGGCAGCCCGCGUUCCCGGCAUGCCCUGGGGCGGCGGGGUUGGCUCUAACGAAUUUGAAUGAGGAGCUUCAGCGCUUUCGGCGCCAUUUUCGAGUGAUGCCUGAUCUCAUCAAUCUAGCGGGAGAGACAAGCUAACCUGUCCGAGAGUAUAGCGCCACUAGGAUUCCGCCGGAAAAAUUACUUUAAAAAUCGCCAAAAAUUACUUGGAGCAAACGGCAGUCGGCGGAGCUUCGCCAAGAUUGGCGCAGUCGGUUUUGACCUGUAGGAGAGAACCAAUUCUGGAGAACAACCUCACUUCUUUGAUUGAAUACUCACGUAAUACAUUGGAACAUGACACAAGAUUAAGGUUUAAUAAUGAUAGAAUGAAGACCAUAAUAAAAGAGACCUCUACUUAGUCAGCAAUUCUUACCUUUCUUACCUACUUGAUGAAGAUGUCUUUUGAAAGGUGUACUGCAGGGGACAAAAUGUUUGUAAAUUCUGCUUUUACCAAGGUGGAUAAUUACUGUACCUUCCUCAUGGAAAAAGUUUUAUUUUAAGUGUUAUUUCUCAUUGAAUACUAUCAAAAAGGAAAAAAAUGACCUAAACUUUUGAGAUAGAUUUGGCUCUAGUGUAAAUUUUGAUAUCACCAUUGCCACCCUCCUCUCAAAAAAGGUGAGAACUGACUAAACGACUGGUACUUAGACCAUGUGGAGAAGGCACUGAAACUGGAAACAGAAGCAGACGUCUGUUCAGAGCAGAGUGUCCGCCAAUAGCUCCCUUUAGUAGAGGGCAAUAAAUGCCACAUGAGAUGAUCCCCUCAGCAGAAAACUUGUCGUAUCUCAAGCCUGUGCCUGUUAGAAAAUCCCUGCACUUAAAACAUCUAUGAGAAUCAAUGACUGAAAUGUGUUAAUAAUACUCUUGAACCAUACCUUCUCUUAAUAAAACGAAGAUCUUUCCCAGUAUUAGGCUAAGGGAAUGAAAAUGAGAACUUAAAGUCCAAAUAAUUCAGUCAGUUAAAACUUUAUAAAAUUGACAUGGCUUUAAUUUCUCAAAUGGAAAGCAAGUAAUUGAAUUGGGGGAAGUGUGCUAGUCUCCAGUUUCAAGAAACAGUACAGCACAAAGACCUGGCAUUCUAGCUGAAGAGCUGUAAUAAUAAACAGAAAUUUGAAAACCAGGAAGACAAGUUUUCCAAGAGUGCAACUGUGGCAUUUCAAAGGAGAUUUAACAAGAAAUUCCGGAAGAUGGCCAAAAAUAGGUUUAGAUAAUUGAGAUUCCUUAUUUGAAUACUUGUUUUUGAUGGAGAAACACACAAGAGGAAAUGAAGUUUCUGUCUAAGGUCUGAAACUUUUUUGUCACCCUAAAGCAGGUUUGCUUCUGAAGAAAACUUUUAGCCAAAAAAAAUCAAAUAGGAAUUCAGUGAUGCUUAGAUUGUAGGAGUUUAAAAAGUGACCAGUGCAACCAUUUUUAGAAAAUUAAUUGAAAGCAAAUAUUUUGGUUUUCUAGGAGCAAAACCUUGUUUUGUAGGAUUCCUAUUUGUAAAGUUAAAGUAUCACUGUUUACCCAGUUACUACUUGCCAUAAGAAAUAGCCUCCCAGCAUCAGACAGAAAUACGAUGUUAUUCUAUGUCCUUGUUUUUUUAUUCUAGUCAUAAAACAACUUCUGAAAUUGAUUUUUAAUAUGGUCUUUUUUAAUGAUAUGUAAGGAAGCCUUAAAAUGUUAAUCUGCAUUUUCAAAUUAGUCUUGUAAAACCUCAGUAAUAUGUCUUGAUAUAUCAGGAUCUUUUAGACCAUUUUACCUUAAUUCUUGAACCACUUGAUUAAUCCAAAUUCAGUAAACCUAUGACCUCAAAUUGGGUUACCCAGAACUGGGAAUAUUUUUGUAUUUCCAUUCUAUUUACAUCUGACUUACCUGCCUGGUCUGCUAACUUCUCCUUUCUUUUCAUGACUUCUAAGUUAUGGAGGUAAGUAAAGAUUUACUAUCAAUUAUAGUCAUGUGACAUUCAUUUUGAACUUACAUUCUCUUAGUUUUUUUAAUUGCUAAGCACUCUCGUAGCAUUACAUUGUUCUUAGCAAAUUAGGUAUCUCUCAAUUUUAACUGGACUAUUUUACUCUUUAAAUGUACAAUUUUGUGUAAUUUGCAACAAGUUUAUAUCCCUAUAAACAUUUAUAUUUUCAUUUCAUUUCCAUGUGGCAUUACCCAAGUAAACUUCUAAUUGAAGAUACUCUGGGGUACUUUCUGUAAUCUGUAACUUGAGUCAACUCUUUCAGACUGUAUUAUUUAAACUGUCCUCAUCCAUCUUUGAAUCUACUAUAAAUCUUGUUUUUCCGAGUGUCUGUUCACUCAGACUAUAGUUUCCAAAUGUUUCAGUUCAGCUCACUUGAGCCUGUUAGAUGCACAACACUGUUGGGGAGUAUGAAGACCACUAUAGCAUAGUCUCAGUCCUCAUCUUAAAAGAACUCAUGGAACCUUAAACAUUGCAGCCAGAUUUCUUUGGAGGCCUCUUGUUACAAAAAGGGUAGACCAGGUGUAGUGGCACAUGCCUGUAAUCCCAACACUUUGGGAGGGUGAGGUGGAAGGACUGCUUGAGCCCACCAGCCUGGGCAACACAGUAAGACUUCAUCUUUACAAAAAGAAAAAAUUAGCCAGGCAUGGUGGCAUGCAUUUGUAGUCCCAGGUACUCAAGAGACCGAGGCUGGAGGAUAGCUUUAGCUCUGGAUUUUGAGGUUACAGUGAGCCAUUGUAGCAUCACUGCACUCUAGCUGGGUGACAGGGUGAAAUACUGCUUCAAAAAAAAAAAAAAAAACGCAAACCAACAACAACAAAAUCAAAAGGGUAAAAUAAAUCUCUCCUGUUUGGCCUCAUACUCAUGAACCCAAAGAAAUUCACAUUCUUUCCAGAAGUGUUUUGAAAUGAUAAAUAAUAAUAUGAAAUAGAAACAGUUAUUUGGUAUGUUUUACCCUGUUGAUAAAAGGCCAUUUUUUAAA